UUGAAUCAGUUUUCUCCCCUGUGAGAACCUUUCCUCUUUUUUGCUUGUGGAUUCAGGCACCCUCUUGUGGACUCAAGGGUUGGAGACUUCGAAUCUGUGGAUUCAGAGGUUGGUUUCUUCUCCAAGAUUAGAGCUUUGUGGAUUCAAGCCCAAAUCUUGUUUAUCUUCCGCGUCACUGCUGCGUCAUGAACGAAAUGUCAGAAGGCUUUGUGUCUUCAAAAAAAUGAAAAGUUGAUCUUCAGGUCUUUGUGUGUUCUGCUAAAAUAGAUGUCAUAUUGGCUGGCUGCAUCACGUAAGGUAUCUCUUCAUUGAUUUAGGGCAAGGUCUUGCAUCUUUCUGCUAGUCACUUUGGCAUCUUAGUCCACAACACACGAUUAGAACUGGAGGCUAAAACCCAUAGAAAAUGGGUGACAUGGAGUAGCAUCUUUGCAUUUCUUUUAAUGCCUUGGAGUUUCCUUUUAGCACAGUUGUGGUCAGAGACCUUAUAUAGAUUUUAAUGCUGUUCCUGUCAUGCAGCUUGUCUAGUAUUUGGUCGUUGGUGCAGCCCUAUUUUUGUGCAUUUUUUCUUUCCUUGUUGCACUAGUAGUUCUUUCUUUCUGUUCAAGCUUUGUCCCUCUCACCUUUGCCACAUAUUCUCAAGUUUUUCUGUUACAACAUAAUGCAGCAGUGAUGUAGAAGAUAAACAAGAUAUGGGUUUGACUUCACAAAAUUUUAAUUUUAGAUAAGAAAUCAGCCUCAUAAUCCAUAGAUUCGGAGUCUUUAACCUUUGAAUUCACAAGGGGGUGUCAGAAUCCACACGCAAGAAAAAAAGGUUCUCAUAGUAGAGAAAAUUGAUUCAACUAAAAAGUAAGGACCUUAGGUUAUAAUAAGAGCCUUUACAUAUAGGCAAAGAAAGGGGGUGAGAUGCUCACAAAUAAAGGAUCUAACAGAUCAUGAGAACAAAGUCUCCCUAACACUAAAAUGACUUAAAAUAGACUCUCACAUAUAGAUAUAUUGAACAGAUCUUAGGUACAAACUCUAACUGACGCAUCGAAACUGUUGGCGAUGUCCCUUUGAGUUGAGUGGAUGUUGAGGUUGACGGAAGAUGGGUUGAAAUCACGACGUCAAUCCUCAAAAGUCGAGAUUUCUGAUGAAGCCUCCUUGUCUUGAAUCCACAAAAUGAAGAAGCUACUCCUUUGGUGCUCAAGCACGGAUCCUGAAUCCAUAGAACCAACGAACUAACUCCCUGAGUCCACAGGGAUACUGGAGUCCACCAGCAGAAGGGAGAAACUCUUAAGGAGAAGAAACUCACGAAAUUUUAUUCAUAAAAAAUAAGUUGAAUGCCCUUGGGCUACAUGGGGCGUCCUUAAAUAGGCCAGAGCCUGUGAAAAGGGCGCCAAUUUUGAAUUUGAAAUGAAAUUUAAAAAUUAAGAGAGAAUUACAUUUAGGAAAGUUUCUGAAAUAGAAAUGGACUUAAAAUAGAACGAAAUAGGUUUUUCUAAAAGGUGGUGUAAAGGCAGGUGAAAGUUAUGGAAGAAAAAUGAAUAGAUGAAAGAAUAGAAAUAGAAAGAGGCUUUAAAUAGGCUAAAAUAAGAAGGUGCUGAAUAAAGAAUGGGAUUUAAGGUGGCAGCAAUAGAAUGAGAUCUAAAAUAGAAGGUAGAUGAGCUAGUGUAAAGAGUUCUAAAAAUAGAAGGUUCUAAAAAUAGAAAGUUGAUCUUUAGUUUUGUCUUCUCCACCAGUGGAUGUGAUAUUGGCUGCAUCAGUCUCCCCUUCUUCAAAAGAACUCGUCCCUGAGUGUUCAGCUUCUUUAGAGAAAUACUCGUAUAAGUCCAUCACAUUAAAAGUAUUUGUGAUUCCCAUAGUGUCUAGAAGGUCAACCAUGUAAGCAUUGUCAUUAAUCUUCUUCAAAAUCUUGAAAGGACCAUAUUUUUUUGGAUUGAGUUUGUUGUAAUUUCAUGUGGGCAGUUUCUCCCUUCUUAAAUAUAUGAUUACCAAAUCACUAACUUAGAAAAGCUUUUUUCUCCUUUUUUUAUCUACCUUUUCCUUGUAUCUUGUAUAACUAACAGUGAGAUUUUUCUGAACAUUUUCUUGAAUUGCCUUGAUGUGGUUUGCCAUUUUAUUAUCUACAAUACUGGUUCCAUGCUUGAGAGGUAAUUCUGCCAAAUCUUGUGGGAUUUUAGGUGGGAAACAGUACACAAUAUAAAAUAGAGAAUAAUGCGUAGACCAAUUCACCAAAGAAUUAUAUGCAAAUUCUGCUUGGGCUAUAGCAAGGUCUCAUUGUUUGGGUUGUUCUCCAGAGAUACACCUCAUUAAAUUACCUAAUGUUCGGUUGACCACUUCUGUUUGACCAUCGGUUUGAGGGUGACUGGUGGUACUGAAAUUAAGAUGAGUCAAAUCUCUUCUAAAGAGUGUGCCAGAAAUGAGACAAAAAUUUUGAAUCUUAGUCUGAUGUAAUAGAUUGUGAGACCCCAUGUAGGCGAACAAUCUCUUUAAAGAAAAGAUUAGUAGUCUGAACAGCAUCAUUACUUUUCUUACAUGCAAUAAAGUGUGCCAUCUCUGAGUGCAAGGUAAACCUAAUAUAAAGUCCAUAGAGAUGUCAGUCUAUGCCUUCUCUGGAAUUGGCAAUGGCAUAUAUAGACUGAUAUUCUGACAUAAAAAAUAAGUUGAAUGCCCUUGGGCUACAUGGAGCGUCCUUAAAUAGGCCAGAGCCUGUGAAAAGGGUACCAAGUUUGAAUUUCAAAUGAAAAUUGAAAAUUGGGAGGGAAAUACAGUUGGGAAAGUUUCUGAAAUAGAAAUGGGCUUAAAAAAGAACAAAAUAGGCUUUUCUAGAGGUGGUGUAAAGGCAUGUGACAGUUAUUGAUGUAGCCAAGUGCUCAGAAUGACAAUGAGGAAAGUCAGAUUUAAAUUCAAGUGGCCCAACUACGAAUUUGGGCCAUAAAGUGAUACUACUACAAGGCCCAUGUAGUCACAAUUGAUAUUGACAUUUGAGAAGGCUACUUUAUGUUACAUUCCUUGUGAAAUGUGGUGCAGGCAUCAGCAGUAAAUAUUGUCAGUCUGUCCUAGGUCAUUUCAGGACAGUCAAAGCCUACUCUUUACUUUAUGUCACUUUUUUCUCUCUAGAAAGUACUUUAUGUCUCUAUCCUUCUAGAAUGUUCUCUAGGGAACAACUUUCAAUGUUAGCAGAGUCUGUUUUUUGUCAUGUGAGACAUUAAUGGUAUGUCCUAGGAUCUUUAGAGGAUUCUACUUUUGGGAGCACCUCAGCUUCUUUUUGGCCUAUAUAGAGGCCCCCCCUGUAACCUGAGAAGGAUAUCUUUUGAAGUAUUAUCUAUUCUCCUCUGUGAGAGUUCUCCUUUUUGUUUGUGGAUUUAAGUGACCCCUUGUGGAUUCAAGGGCUGAAAAUUCCGAAUCUGUGGAUUCAGAAGUUGGUUUCUUCUCCAAGUUUUGAGCUUUAUGGAUUCAAGGUCUAAACUUGUUAUCUUCCGCGUUACUGCUGCAUCAGUUAUGGAAGGAAAAUGAAUAGAGAAAAGAAGAGAAAUAGAAAGAGACUUUAAAUAGUGUAAAAUAGGAAGGUGCUGAAUAAAGAAUGAGAUUUAUGGUGGCAGCAAUAGGAUGAGAUCUAAAAUAGAAGGUAGAUGAGCUAGUGCAAAGGGUUGAUAAAAUAGAAAGGUCUAAAAAUAGAAGGUUAUAUCAAUAGAAGGGGUCUAAAGAGUUCUUAAAAUAGAAGGUUCUAAAAAUAGAAAGUUGAUCUCCAGGUCUAUAAGUCUUCUCCACCAGUGGAUGUGAUAUUGGCUGCAUCAAUAUUCAAAAUCUUAUUGAAUAAAAAACUUGGAACGUUGACCUUGCCCGGUUACCAAGUGACAGAGCAGAAAAAAUUUGACUUGUUGAAGAUCAAGGAUUUGAUCUAGCUCUAUUUGAAGUAAAUAGAAACUCAUUCUUGAAUCCACAAAAACAUGAUUUCUGUGAAGACCUGAUGUAGCCCAGUUUCUGCCAAAUUCGAGUAAUCUUGAAGAAUAGGAGGUGUGAAGACUCUUUUUUAGCACAUGGUAAUUGUGUUCAAAUCUCGAAAUUUAUUUUUUUCCUUUCCCAUUUAUGUUACAAAAUUUUGUAGUUAAGGACAUUUGUAACAAACUUCCUUAAGUUUAGGGCCGAUUUUGAAUAUUUCUUGAAUUGUAGUUAGUGAAAGACAUUCCUAACAGAACCUCCAGAAUUUUACGUUUCUUUUAACAGAUUUCUUAUUUUGUGGGAUCUCUAGAGAACCGAAUUCCUUGUCACUAAGUUAUGUUUCUAGCGUAUAUAAAGGCCUCUCAUGUGGCCUUUAUAUAAUUCAAAGUUCCUUUCUUUUUUUUCAGAAUGUUAUCUUCUCUGCUGGUGGAUUCUAGCCUCCCUAUUGAUUUAGGGAACCACUUCUGAUCUUCUGGAUUUAGGAUCAAAUCCUUAUGGACUCAAGGAUUGGAGUUGAUUUAUUUUGUGGACUCAGGGUGAAGGAUCUUCACAGAAAUUAUGUUUUUAUGGAUUCAAUAAGGCGAUUUCUAUUUAUCUGAAAUCAAGAUACAUCAAAUCCUAGAUCUUCAGCAAGUCAAAUUUUCUAUUGUGUUCUCCCUCUAUUUCCUGUGUUUUCUAACACAAAGAAAGUGGUAGCCACAGAAACAUUGUCAUGUGGUAGAGAGCACCAUUUUGAAUAUAAUUAUUGAUAAAUGAAGAAAGAGGCUAGAAAAUUUUAGAUGAUAGAGUGAUCAAUCGGGUAAAACAAAACAAUAUUAAGUAUUCUCCCAUUCGUACCCAUCUGAUCACAAAAUAAUGUCAUGUGCUGAAGGGUCAAUGAAAAAAUACUUAUGACUUUUGGCUACUCCUGCACUGUUAUACUGAUGACUUUGGCUACUCCUGCACUGUUACACUGAUGACUUUUGGCUACUCCUGCACUGUUAUACUGAUGACUUUGGCUACUCCUGCACUCUUACACUGAUGACUUUUGGCUACUCCUGCACUGUUAUACUGAUGACUUUGGCUACUCCUGCACUCUUACACUGAUGACUUUGGCUAGAUAUAGAUCAUGCUUGCAUUUCCUUUUUACUUGUUUACUUCCUCAGCACAGCAAUACAAACGUACCUCUGGGUUUCAUUUUAUAUUGAAUCAUUGUCAUGGAAGCGACCUCUACUGAUUAAUGUCUGAUAUUCUUGAACUGGUUUCCUCAAAGGCUUUGUCUUAGAUGAUAACAUGCUGAUUACCAUGUAAAAAAAGUAACAAUUAGUUUACUUAAGAGCUUAAAUCUUAUGAUCCAGUAUGUUAUUGUGCUAACAAUUACUUCUCUGAAUAUUUCAUGAAGUUUAAUAUUUUUGAGAAUUUCAGAGUUUUUCUGUGAAUUAACUUUUCUAUUAAUACCAGGAAAAUUCAGGAGUUUUAAAUUUUUUACGAUUUUUUAGGAAGGUGAUAUUUGCUUCUAUGGUUAGGAUUUGAUCUGGAAAUGAGGAGACUAUAAAUGGAGGAAGUGCUGAUAUGUGGUAGAGAUCAAAAGCCGUCGAAGGUAUCCAUGUGAUCGACGGCAGAUGAAACCUACUUACCAGGGGUGCAGUAGACCUCAACAUCAUGGAAGAUCCUAAGGCCAAGGACAGAGCUGAAAGUCUAUGAACCAGAUCAGUCAAAGAGAAACCAAUGCUCAACCCUCAAUAUCGCAGUUGAAAGAAAAAAAGGAAAAGUCAUUAUUUUGGUGCCCUAGAUCUGAGGAUAUCGGAUGAACCAGCUCAUAAGAGGGAAGAUAUCAACCCUACAUAUCACCCACCUUCUCUCAUGUAAAUGCAGCACAUUUAAGCCACCAUUUAGGGUGCGGAAAACCUAACUAGUGAUGCCCCCAUUUUGAAUCGGCUGAGUGAAACCGCACUGAAGUUCCGCAUCAAUCUAGAUGUUAUUUGGUUUGAUUCCAUAGAUUCGCAGCCUGAAUCAUUGGUGAUGUAGCCCAAUUUCAGCCAAAUUCGAGUGAUCUUGAAGAACAGGAGGCAUGAAGACUUGUUUCACUAAAUAAUAGAUUUAGCACAUGUUAAAUGUGUUCAAAUCUUGAAAUUAUUUAUUUUCUUUCACGUUUUUGUUAUUUUAAUAAUUAAGGACGUUUGUAACAAACUUCGUUAACCUUUGGGGCAUUUUUAAUUACUUCUAGAAUUAUAGUUAAUUAAGGAUGUUCUUAACAGAACCUCCUGAAUUUUAGGUUUGUUUUAAUAUAUUUAACUUGAUGAUAUUGACGCAGCGGAAAUAUUGACUUGCUGAAGAUCUGAAAGAUUUGAUGCAGCUUGAUUUGUGAUAAGUAGAAAUCUUGUUCUUGAAUCUACAGAAACGUGAUUUCCGUGAAGAUCCUUCAUCCUGAGUCGAUAGGAUGAAUGAACUUCAACCUUUGAGUCUACAAGGGGUUGAUCUUGAAUCCACAAGAUCAGAAGUGGUUACUUGAACCAAAAGGGAGGCUGGAAUCCUCUAGCAGAGAAGAUAAUUUUUUGAAAAGAAAGGAACUUUUAAUUAUAUUGAUAAAAAUAUGUCAUUGAAUUAAUGCUUCUUUAGCUUCCUUGAUAUCUUGUAAUUUUCUCCACCUGUCUUCAUUUGACAAGAUUCCUUGGGCUGCAUCAGUCUCUACUGCUUGAAGAAAACUCGUCCACGAGUUCAUUCAUUUUGACCAAUAUAUGUAGCCCAAGUUGAACUGGUUAAAUAAAAGACUUAUAGUGGCUGGUGUGAAACUGUUGUAAUUUCGUCUAACAAAGGUCACUGUCAUGUCUUCAAAAAUAAUGAAACAUUAUGUCCAAAUUUUACUUAACUGCUGAUAUUAUUUUUCUUUCACACUUGCUUGGAUGUGAUAGUCAAAAACAUAGGUCGAACUUGAAUUGUGAUGAGCGACCUCAUUCUUGUAAUUUCCUUGAAAUAAAUCCGUUCUAGGUAGUUGUUCAUCAUGCUUAAUGUCUAAACACAGUAAAGUUGAGUUAAUCCAAUUCUCAAGAAAGUCAAGAUGAUCAAAUGUUGGUCUUGGAUGAAUGUCAACAUCCACAGUAAUGUCUUUCUUUACAUCUGUUGCAACUUUAUUUUCUACAUUUUUCUUGGAAUCUGAAAAAGUUUUGAGCGAGCACAAUACUAAUUUCUGUCCACCUCGGUAAACUACA
rnacentral:lncRNA from 1 species